rnacentral:tRNA from 1 species
GCCGGGGUGGCGGAAUAGGUAGACGCAGGGGACUUAAAAUCCCCCGGAGGUAAAACCUCCGUGCCGGUUCGAGUCCGGCCCCCGGCA